UGCACUAGGGGUGCCCGGUUGGGCUGAGAUUAAACCCUAAACCUGAUCCAGGUAAUGCUGGCGGAGGGAAGAUGCUUUU
rnacentral:ncRNA from 1 species